rnacentral:rRNA from 1 species
GGAGUUUGGGCCGUGUCUCAGUCCCAAUGUGGCCGUACACCCUCUCAGGCCGGCUACUGAUCGUCGCCUUGGUGGGCCGUUACCCCGCCAACUAGCUAAUCAGACGCGGGUCCAUCCUAUACCACCGGAGUUUUUCACACUGUACCAUGCGAUACUGUGCGCUUAUGCGGUAUUAACAGCCGUUUCCAGCUGUUAUCCCCCUGUAUAGGGCAGGUUACCCACGCGUUACUCACCCGUCCGCCACUAAGUAUUCCAAAUGAUUCCUCAGAAGCAAGCUUCCUUGGUCUCGGGAGGAAUACUCCGUUCGACUUGCAUGUGUUAAGCACGCCGCCAGCGUUUAUC